rnacentral:rRNA from 1 species
UUGAACGCUGGCGGCAUGCCUUACACAUGCAAGUCGAACGGUAGAGGGGCAACCCUUGAGAGUGGCGAACGGGUGAGUAAUAUAUCGGAACGUGCCCAGUCGUGGGGGAUAACGCAGCGAAAGCUGCGCUAAUACCGCAUACGAUCUAUGGAUGAAAGCGGGGGAUCGCAGGACCUCGCGCGAUUGGAGCGGCCGAUAUCAGAUUAGGUAGUUGGUGGGGUAAAAGCCCACCAAGCCGACGAUCUGUAGCUG